rnacentral:lncRNA from 1 species
GCCGUUUCCUUAGUUGAGGGGAUCUGUAGGAAUCUCUUGGGAAGUCUUUAUGGAUUGUUAUAUCAGUAAAAGACAAGUUGAUAAAGCAUCGAGAAUGUCCCCUUCGGGCCGGUGGUCAGACUGGCUUGUAAGAGCUGGCCCGGUGGAACCAAACUUCAGGCCUGGGAAUGGUGAGUUUAAAGCCAGUUGUCACCUUGGCUCCUUUCUGGAAGGAAUUCCUUUCCCUUAGGUUCUGUAACUUAGACUCAAACGAUUGUCAGACUAUACAAAAGGGAGACUUAAGGAUUGUGAUGGGGCAUUUUUGAUAAGCCGGAUUAUCACCAUACCUCAGAUUUAAAGUGCUCCUUGGGGCCCCUCCUUCCCAGUGCUGUGAUUUGAUAAUGUUGGUGAGGCGCUCCCGCAUCAAAGUAAGCAGUGCUCGAGCUACUUUUCUAAGAAGAAAGCCAGAGCACAGUCGUACCAAGUGUCUCAUACUCAGUACCUGGAAAGUUACAGGUACUGUCCAGAACUCAAGGAUGAUGGUUAAUCGCUAUUGCAGGUAGACCUGUCUAGGCCAAGCUACUCAGUUGUCUGAGCUGUUUCUUUUAAUUACCACAUGUCCUCGAGUGCACACCAGGGGCUGGAGGGUACUGUAAUUGACUUGCACUCUGUUUUUGGCAUAGCCACUCUCCUGAUUAAAUUGAUAUUCCAGUGGGACUCUUCACAGGGCUGUUUGGGGAAAGCAAAUCCAGUGCUGUCAUUUGGACACUGUGGUUCCAUUGUUGGGCUGGAUUUUCCCGUAUCCCCAGGGACUGUGCUAACGUUGUGAUACAUGUCAUCUAGAAUACACAAAGUUUUCAUUAAAAAUAUCUUAAAAUAUUUUCAUUUGCCCUGAGUCUUUGAGAACUUUAACAAUUCUGUUUCUGAGUCACAUAGACUAGAUGGGAUUACAACAGAAACAGUUUCCGCUUCUUAGUUUUCACUAUAUAAUAAGGAUAUUGAUUAAAAUACACUUAUUCUAUGAGUGAAAUUGGUAAAGUAGAGUACAUAAAAUAAGGUCAGUUUUUGUAUUUUCAAAGUAGAAUUAAAACAAAACAAAACAAAACAAAAAACCAAAACACUUAGAGCUAGAGGCAGGCAUAGAUGGAUCUCUGAGUUGGAGGCUAGCCUGGUCUACAGAUGGAGUUCCAGGCCAGCCAUGGCUACACAGAGAAGCCCUGUUUCAAAAACACCAACAAAACAAAAUAAACCAACCAACAAAAAACCACUUAGAAUAUGAAAAUAUAUUUUCAGACCAUUAUAUCACAUGUUCAGACCACUAUAUCGCAUGUAAGACAAUCCAUGAUAGGUUUUAUUUAUUGAUUUUCUUGGGUUAAGAGUCUGGUUCAGAUUCCUGGGUUUACACUAAACAUUCAAGUCUCUUGUGAUUUGGUAGUGGGAUUAGUUUUAUGUUCAUUACUAAUCAGCAAUUUGAAAGAACAGAAGGUUUUAGUGGUAGUUCUCAAAUGUGAUACGGAUUUGGAUAGUUAAGGAUUUUAUCCUCUGGUCAUUCUAAAUUACAGUUCCCCUCUUUACAUUUUAUUUUGGUAAGCUCAGGAAAAUGAGUGGUGCGAUGCUAUUUUAGGGAGCAAGAAAGAUGAGGGCCUGCUAGAGAAAAAUAAUUCUAGUGUAUAUAACACUAUUGCAUAUACAUGCAUACAUAUGUGUACACACACAUAAAUGUACUCUAUCAUAUAAAUAAAAAUUGUCAGAACUUUAGAAUAACAUUACAGGUUGUUAGUUACUUCAAAAUGAGAUUUUCAAAUGAGAUUUAAAAUAGGCAAUACAAUGCAGUGUGUAUUUAUAGCAGGCUAGAAAUAUAAGACAUGUCUUGAGUUUUUCACCUUUAUAUAUUUAAUUGUUGCAUAAAGAUUUUCAUACACAGUGGUACUAGUGAUGUUUUGAUCCCUUGUACAUUGUAUACUGUUUCCACCAGAGUAAAAAUGUCUCCUCAGACACUUAGAAUGUCAUUGUGUUGAAACAUUGGAAAUGUUGUUUCUAGCUUACUUGACAUGUUGUAUCAGUUUCUUUGCUGUUCAACAUGGCACGGUGGCUUAUUUCUCCCAAAGUGUUUUCCUUUAAUAAAAAUGUUUUUCAUUAAUUUUUCAUUUGGAAGGAAAAUGAAAAUAUUGACCCCUGUAAAAAGCAGUCAGGCUUGCACCCUCAAGAUGGCACACCUGCUGCCUAGAAUGUGCUGGCACGCAUGAGGCCUGAGCCGCAGCCUGGGGGAUUGUCAUGGUUGAAGAUACCCAUUUCCACAGAGCUGUCCUCUGACUUCCACACCUGUGACAUGUGGGUGUUCUCUCCUCUAGGUAUUCAAAGGAAAUAAAUGCCAAAAAAAAAAAAAUUCAGGCUGAAAAUUAAUUACCUACAAUUUACUUAUUAGACAUAUUACAUGUGAGCUGUGGCAUGCACUUGGAGGUCAGGAGACAACCUUGUGGCAUGGAUCUUGUCUACCUUCAUAUAGGUUCUGAGGGUUGAAUUGAAGCUGCCGUGCUGGCGUUAUCUAUCAGACAGGUGCCUUCACCUGCUGGACCAUUUUGUUGGCCCAAAUUUACUUACUGGUUCUGAGGUCCAAUAUAGAGCCUUGGGAAUACCCAGCAUGCACGCUGCCACUGAGCUAUGCUUCCAGCUCUAGGAUAUCUUAGAAUUUUUUAGUAUGAGUAAGAAUUCAUAAGAUUUUUUUUCCUUAGUAGUAAAAAGUUUCACACUGUGCUGGGGAUGUAGCUCAGUUGGUAGAAUGCUUGCAUAGCACACAGAGGCUCUAGGUUCUAUACUGUAUAAGCCGGACUUGACACAAUACCAAUACUUGGGAAAUGGAGCCAGGAGGAUCAGAUGCUCAAGGCUGUAGUUAGCUAUAUAUGAGUUCCAUCCAGCCUGGGGCACCUGAGACCCUGUUUCAAAAAAAGUUGGGCAUAAAACUUUAUAGUGACAAGUCUGAAAACAGUAUCUUUCUAGUUAGGAGCACUUAAUUAUGACUGAUAAAGGAAUAUUGUUAAAUUCUUUUCAUUAAAAGGGUCAUAAAAACCUGAUUCUAUGGCAUAGGAUUAUAUAUGAAAACUUGACUAAUGUGAGUUGGAUUUCCAAGACUGAUUGAAAACAAAAAGUUGCUUUGUAUGACUGUUUUUGAAAGGUACUUGGUAAUCGAAAGUGGAGUGGCUGCCAGAGUUCCUAAGAGUUUCAGUUUUGUCUUAGGUUUCAGCUGAGGACUAGGGUACGUAGGCAUGUUUUAAUGUCUCAUGAAGUCCUUCACGUGUAACUACAUGUAGAUAGACACGGAAAAUCAGUGCAGCAGCAUCUGUCUGGGUGGUUUUUGUUUUUUUUUUUUUUUUUUUUGCAUCUGCCUGUUUUUAAUGGAGUUUCCCCAGUUGGUUUGUAGAUUUUUGUGUUUGCUUUGUGUGUGUGUGUGUUUGCAUUUUGAUCGGUGGCUCCUGGAGGUUUAGGUAGUCCGCUCUGUGAUAAUAAGUAGUAUUUUCUAAUUCUCAACAGCUUUAGAUCAUCUAGCUCAACUGCCUUUGUUUUAGACAGCGGAGCUCAGGGAAACUCAGGGCUCCAAGGUUAUUAACUCACUGUCACACAGAACUAGGAAGCCUGAAGCCCAGACAGGAGUCCUGUAUUUUGUUAUGCAUUUUCCUUCCUAAUGAGAAGAAAGCAAAAAAGGCCAUUUUGGCCGGGCGUGGUGGCGCACGCCUUUAAUCCCAGCACUCGGGAGGCAGAGGCAGGCCUGUUCUACAAAGUGAGUUCCAGGACAGCUAGGGCUCUACAGAGAAACCCUGUCUCGAAAAACAAAGC